GACGAACGCUGGCGGCGUGCUUAACACAUGCAAGUCGAACGCUGAAGCCCUAGCUUGCUGGGGUGGAUGAGUGGCGAACGGGUGAGUAAUACGUGAGCAACCUGCCCUUCACUCUGGGAUAAGCGCUGGAAACGGUGUCUAAUACUGGAUAUGAGCAACCAUCGCCUGGUGUGUUGUUGGAAAGAUUUAUUGGUGGGGGAUGGGCUCACGGCCUAUCAGCUGGAUGGUGGGGUAAUGGCCUACCAUGGCGACGACGGGUAGCCGGCCUGAGAGGGUGACCGGCCACACUGGGACUGAGACACGGCCCAGACUCCUACGGGAGGCAGCAGUGGGGAAUAUUGCACAAUGGGCGCAAGCCUGAUGCAGCAACGCCGCGUGAGGGAUGACGGCCUUCGGGUUGUAAACCUCUUUUAUCAAGGAAGAAGGGGACCGUAUGGUUUUUGACGGUACUUGGGGAAAAAGCACCGGCUAACUACGUGCCAGCAGCCGCAGUAACAC
rnacentral:rRNA from 1 species